GACGAACGCUGGCGGCGUGCUUAACACAUGCAAGUCGAACGGAAAGGCCCUGCUUUUGUGGGGUGCUCGAGUGGCGAACGGGUGAGUAACACGUGAGUAACCUGCCCUUGACUUUGGGAUAACUUCAGGAAACUGGGGCUAAUACCGGAUAGGAGCUCCUGCUGCAUGGUGGGGGUUGGAAAGUGUCGGCGGUUGGGGAUGGACUCGCGGCUUAUCAGCUUGUUGGUGGGGUAGUGGCUUACCAAGGCUUUGACGGGUAGCCGGCCUGAGAGGGUGACCGGCCACAUUGGGACUGAGAUACGGCACAGACUCCUACGGGAGGCAGCAGUGGGGAAUAUUGCACAAUGGGCGGAAGCCUGAUGCAGCAACGCCGCGUGCGGGAUGACGGCCUUCGGGUUGUAAACCGCUUUCGCCUGUGACGAAGCGUGAGUGACGGUAAUGGGUAAAGAAGCACCGGCUAACUACGUG
rnacentral:rRNA from 1 species